AUCAUUAAAGAGACGUUGCCCUUCGGGGUAUACCUCCCACCCUUUGUUUACUAUACCUUUGUUGCUUUGGCGGGCCCGUCCUCGGACCACCGGCUUCGGCUGGUCAGCGCCCGCCAGAGGACCUAAAACUCUGUUUGUUCAUAUUGUCUGAGUACUAUAUAAUAGUUAAAACUUUCAACAACGGAUCUCUUGGUUCUGGCAUCGAUGAAGAACGCAGCGAAAUGCGAUAAGUAAUGUGAAUUGCAGAAUUCAGUGAAUCAUCGAAUCUUUGAACGCAAAUUGCACUCUUUGGUAUUCCGAAGAGUAUGCUUGAUUGAGGGUUGUUCCAAUAAAUUCGUUUUUUUUUUUUAAAAAAAAACGGAUCUGAGUUUUCCAAGGUUUUUAGGAUUUUGGUAACUUUAAAUUUAUCUUAACGAUAUCUUUGGUAUGAUAUUGGAAAUGGUUAUAUUCUUACUACCUGUGAGUUUCAUUAACAAUCGAUUACCUGUCGUUACGUCGUAUCAUUGGUCCAAUCCUUUUAAUUGGGUCACAUGAUACAAAUUUUCUUUCAACACCUCAAGUCAAGUAAGAAUACCCGCUGAACUUAAGCAUAUCAUAA
rnacentral:rRNA from 1 species